rnacentral:lncRNA from 1 species
GUUGUCGUCGCCAGUGAGUGAAGAAAUGAAAGAAUUACCAGCAGAAGAGUAUGAAAAAUUAAGAGUUUUUGAAGAAUCAUUUCUCUUGAUUAUAGGACGGUGAAGGGUAGUAGAAACAGUUGGUGGAAUCUGUUGCAAAGGUGUAGCGUUGAAAAUCAUUGGUUCAGAAGGUUGAAAUUGUAGGGUUUGUGAUGGUGGUGGUUGUGGUUGUGGUAAAGGAGCUUUUCUGAAACGAGCAUGACCAGUUC